AAUAUUUCACAAGGGGCGAAAGCCUGAUGCAGCAACGCCUCGUGAGGGAUGAAGGCCUUCGGGUCGUAAAGCUCUUUGAUCAGGGAUGAUAAUGACAGUACCUGAAAAACAAGCCACGGCUACCUACGUGCCAGUAGCCGCGGUAAUACGUAGGUGGCGAGCGUUGUACGGAAUUACUGGGCGUAAAGGAUGCGUAGGUGGAUACUUAAGUGGGAUGUGAAAUCCCCGGGAUCAACCCGGGAGCUGCAUUCCAAACUGGGUAUCUAGAGUGCAGGAGAGGAAAGCGGAAUUCAUAGUGUAGCGGUGAAAUGCGUAGAUAUUAGGAGGAACACCAGUGGCGAAGGCGGCUUUCUGGACUGUAACUGACACUGAGGCAUGAAAGCGUGGGUAGCAAACAGG
rnacentral:rRNA from 1 species